rnacentral:lncRNA from 1 species
UCGAACGGUCAAGAUACAACAUUUCCAAAAGUGACAAGCUGAUGGAUAAGAUGUACACCUUCCGGCUAUUGAAAAGGAUUUUGGAUCACGACACCGAUCCAGAUUGGCUAUGAUGGGAAUCUAUAUGGUAAAACGUGGGGAUUCAAAUUCUCGACAAUUUGCAAGCAGAUUUACGGGCUUGCGUAAUAAUACCAUGGUACUCUAAGAGCACCUACAAUAUAGACAUUUACUUUUGGGUCUAGAGCCUUAAGUGGGUUUCACGUGUACACAUCUUUUAUCAAUAAUUUUUUAAUAGUAGUAACUAAUAACCACUCAACCCCUUUAACCGAACACCUCAUAUCUCAAGUAUCUUUUUAAAAGUCGUUUUAGAAUCGUGACAUUAAAUUAAG